UACGUAGGGUGCGAGCGUUGUCCGGAAUUAUUGGGCGUAAAGAGCUCGUAGGCGGUCUGUCGCGUCUGCUGUGAAAACCCGAGGCUCAACCUCGGGCCUGCAGUGGGUACGGGCAGACUAGAGUGCGGUAGGGGAGAAUGGAACUCCUGGUGUAGCGGUGAAAUGCGCAGAUAUCGGGAGGAACACCGGUGGCGAAGGCGGUUCUCUGGGCCUGUACUGACGCUGAGGAGCGAAAGCGUGGGGAGCAAACAGG
rnacentral:rRNA from 1 species